rnacentral:tRNA from 1 species
AUUGGGCUAGUUUAAGUAAAAAUACUAACCUGUGGAGUUAGGGAAAAUAGGAUUACUAUUGUUCGAUC